rnacentral:rRNA from 1 species
ACUCAAAGGAAUAGACGGGGGCCCGCACAAGCGGCGGAGCAUGUGGCUUAAUUCGACGCAACGCGAAGAACCUUACCAAGGCUUGACAUCGUAUUGACAAGUACAGAAAUGUACCUCCUUCGGGCAGUAUGACAGGUGGUGCAUGGCUGUCGUCAGCUCGUGUCGUGAGAUGUUGGGUUAAGUCCCGCAACGAGCGCAACCCUUGUCCCAUGUUGCCAUCAUUUAGUUGGGCACUCUUGGGAGACUGCCGGUGUAAAACUGGAGGAAGGUGGGGAUGACGUCAAGUCAUCAUGCCCUUUAUGCCUUGGGCUGCACACGUGCUACAAUGGUCGGUACAAAGAGAAGCGAUACCGCGAGGAGGAGCCAAUCUCAUAAAGCCGAUCUAAGUCCGGAUUGAAGGCUGAAACUCGCCUUCAUGAAGUAGGAGUCGCUAGUAAUCGUGGAUCAGCAUGCCACGGUGAAUACGUUCCCGGGCCUUGUACACACCGCCCGU